UAGGGGUAAAGCACUGUUUCGGUGCGGGCUGCGAGAGCGGUACCAAAUCGUAGCAAACUAAGAAUACUAGAUAUUGCUUUCCAUUAAUCAGUGAGACGGUGGGGGAUAAGCUUCAUCGUCGAGAGGGAAACAGCCCAGAUCACUAGCUAAGGCCCCUAAAUGAUUGCUAAGUGGCAAAGGAGGUGAAAAUGCUGAAACAACCAGGAGGUUUGCUUAGAAGCAGCCACCCUUAAAAGAGUGCGUAAUAGCUCACUGGUGAAGCGUUUUUGCGCCGAAAAUGAACGGGACUAAGCAAUCUGCCGAAGCUGUGGGAUUUUUAUCAAAUGAUUAAAAAUCGGUAGGGGAGCGUUCCGCUUUAGGGUGAAGUAUUUAUGGAAAUAAGUAUGGACGAAGCGGAAGUGAGAAUGUCGGCUUGAGUAACGCAAACAUUGGUGAGAAUCCAAUGCCCCGAAAACCUAAGGGUUCCUUUACUAGGUUCGUCCAUGAAGGGUGAGUCAGGACCUAAGGCAAGGCCGAAAGGCGUAGUCGAUGGCAAACAGGUUAAUAUUCCUGUACUAAUUUUUAAUUAAUACCGAGGGACGAAGACAGCAAAAAUUGGCCAGACAAUGGAUUGUUGGUGGAAACAUUCAAGGUAUAGAAAAAUAGAAGAAAAACUAGUUUUCAACUAAGAGGUGAUACGAUUCUGUUCCCUGCUAAGCAAUUAGGAGGUUAGAGGAAUUCAAUUGUUUGUUAUGCUUCCUAGAAAAGCUCGUAGUAUUAGAUAUGAAAAAAUUACCUGUACCUUAAACCGACACAGGUAGGUGGGUAGAGUAUACCUAGGGGCGCGAGAUAACUCUCUCUAAGGAACUCGGCAAAAUGGCCCCGUAACUUCGGGAGAAGG
rnacentral:rRNA from 1 species